rnacentral:rRNA from 1 species
GACGAACGCUGGCGGCGUGCUUAACACAUGCAAGUCGAACGGAAAGGCCCUGCUUUUGUGGGGUGCUCGAGUGGCGAACGGGUGAGUAACACGUGAGUAACCUGCCCUUGACUUUGGGAUAACUUCAGGAAACUGGGGCUAAUACCGGAUAGGAGCUCCUGCUCCAUGGUGGGGGUUGGAAAGUUUGGGCGGUUGGGGUUGGACUCGCGGCUUAGCAGCUAGUUGGUGGGGUAGUGGCUUACCAAGGCUUUGACGGGUAGCCGGCCUGAGAGGGUGACCGGCCACAUUGGGACUGAGAUACGGCCCAGACUCCUACGGGAGGCAGCAGUGGGGAAUAUUGCACAAUGGGCGGAAGCCUGAUGCAGCAACGCCGCGUGCGGGAUGACGGCCUUCGGGUUGUAAACCGCUUUCGCCUGUGACGAAGCGUGAGUGACGGUAAUGGGUAAAGAAGCACCGGCUAACUACGUG